rnacentral:lncRNA from 1 species
AUCUCUGCCCCUCAGAGUCCUGGGGAGGAUGGAUGGAACAGGAGGAGCAUCAUGAGAAGGCUUCCUGUAAACUACGGAGGGUGAGGGGACGGAGCGUGAGGGAACGUCGGGAGAUGGUGCUCAUGGAAGCCAGCAGAGGGUGUAGGGUCUCCUGGAGCCACAUCUCUGGAGUUACAUGAAGUUGUGAACCUCUCAACAUGGGUUCUGGGAACUGAACCCAGGUCCUCUAGAAGGACAUCGAGUGCUCUUAACCACUGAGCCAUCUCUGCAGCCUAACCCCAUCCCUUGGAGGCUGAAGCAAAGCAAGUUCAAUGACUGUGCGAUCUGGCUCUUGUUUGGGCCUAAGGAAAAGCCGACUUUAAGCCGGGAAGCAUCUCUGGCAAGAACAAGGAAGGAUUAAGCACGUCUGUGGUUGUGCGCAGGGAUCACAAGGUGCUCCUGCAGUGGGAAGAGCCACCACUAGGGGCGCUCCAAGUCUUGUAUUUUCUACCUUGAAAACUCGUUUCCCUGUGGCUGCCCUCCAAAUCCAACGGAGAUGAAUGGCUUUUAGUUUACCUAGCUGAUUUAAUAAACUUUAAAAAUAAAUGU